rnacentral:rRNA from 1 species
GUGGGGAAUAUUGCACAAUGGGGGAAACCCUGAUGCAGCGACGCCGCGUGAGCGAAGAAGUAUUUCGGUAUGUAAAGCUCUAUCAGCAGGGAAGAAGAAAUGACGGUACCUGACUAAGAAGCACCGGCUAAAUACGUGCCAGCAGCCGCGGUAAUACGUAUGGUGCAAGCGUUAUCCGGAUUUACUGGGUGUAAAGGGAGCGCAGGCGGAAGGCUAAGUCUGAUGUGAAAGCCCGGGGCUCAACCCCGGUACUGCAUUGGAAACUGGUCAUCUAGAGUGUCGGAGGGGUAAGUGGAAUUCCUAGUGUAGCGGUGAAAUGCGUAGAUAUUAGGAGGAACACCAGUGGCGAAGGCGGCUUACUGGACGAUAACUGACGCUGAGGCUCGAAAGCGUGGGGAGCAAACAGG